UACGAAGGGGGCUAGCGUUGCUCGGAAUCACUGGGCGUAAAGGGUGCGUAGGCGGGUCUUUAAGUCAGGGGUGAAAUCCUGGAGCUCAACUCCAGAACUGCCUUUGAUACUGAGGAUCUUGAGUUCGGGAGAGGUGAGUGGAACUGCGAGUGUAGAGGUGAAAUUCGUAGAUAUUCGGAAGAACACCAGUGGCGAAGGCGACUCACUGGCCCAUUACUGACGCUGAGGCUCGAAAGCGUGGGGAGCAAACAGG
rnacentral:rRNA from 1 species